AAGCUUGUUGUAAUGAGAUGUUUUACUGAUGUGUAACUACUUCAAAUUUUUGUGCUCAAUUCAGUGUGUUACUUGCUAUUUCGUUGUAUUAAAUUGUGUAAUAUACUUGCAAUUUCUGAGUGUUUUUUUUUUUUUUUUUUUUUUUUUUUUUUUUUUUUUNAUCACUUCCAUCUUCACUGUCUCCAUUCAGUAAAAGUGUGGAAGAAACCAGACAAUAAAAAGGACAGAAGUGUACAUUUUUAUUCCAAAUGCAUGGGUUUUGUAAUUCCUUUUGGAACUAAAGGAAAAAGAACAGGCAGUUGUAUAGUCUGAUGUUUUCUCAAGUGUUCUUUUUUUUAUGGCUCUUGUUGGUUGAGAACUCAAUUUCUUGAUGAGACAUACAAGCACUUCCUGUCUCUUUCCUGUUGACAUGUGCAGCACAGACACCUUUAAAUGUUUAAGAAGCAGAACGACACACAGACAACACAUCACGAAAGUCACAACGGGUAAGUCUACAACCAUUAAAUUUAAAACAAAUAAAAUUCAAUGCAAUAUUUAAAGAUGAUGGCCAAUUUUACACUGCAAUUAAAACACAUUUUUAUUAAAUAGAAUAUUAUUGAAUUUUGCUUGUAUUAGUCAUUUUCUGUAACACAUCCCAUUUCCACACAAAUGUGUUAUCAGAACAAAUCAAAUGUUGAAUAUGAAUAAUGUGUAUAAUUUUGUUCAUUGUAGGUCUUCUGUCCACCAUGUUAACAUUUUUCAUGAAAAGCUUGUGAAGCAAACUACAAAUAUAUUGAGCAAAGGAAACCAAAAGAACAUAAAACAAGCUGAUAGUGGACAUCUAAAGAUCAGAAGAUGUCUUCAGCACCAAAAUUAAUAUCCAAAAUUAAGAGUGGACUGACUAAAAGUGCGCUUUUCAGGUCUUUUCCAACAAGUAUUUUGGUGAUGCUUUUGGAGGUUUUAGCCAAUUAUACAUUUUCAUGCCCUUGUGAUUCUGAGAUGAAUACAACACUGACUGGCCUUAUCUUCAUUUCACCUGCUUGUUUUUCAUUUGCUUUAACAUUUUUCCUGCUACAUGCUAAAGAAAAACAAGACAAAGAACAAAAUGACAAAGAAAAUGAAUAUGCAAUAAAAACAGAAAAAGACGUUAAAUAUAAUUAUAUUCUAAUUAGUCUAAUUCCAUCUAUUGUAUGGAUCAUUGGGCUGUUCUUUGAUGGGGAUUACGUCGCCUGUAGUCAAACAGACUGGGAAGGACUGUAUGUUUUUGAUGAGAACCUAAAAAUAAAAUGGUGUAAACCUACCAAAUUGAUCCCGGGAAAAAAUCAGAAUCAACUGCAAAGCCUGACUCUCUCUUUUAUUGGUAAAUCACAGGUUUGCGGUUAUGUUUUGCUUCUUCUCUUCAGCAUUGCAAUUAUAGCCAUUGUAGCUUAUUAUAUGUACUACAAUAAUGGUAAAAAGCCAAAGUGGGGCACUGGGGAAUUGACAGUCUAACGAAGAGGAGAGGAUCCUUCAACAGCAUAAUGACAUGUCCAGUGCUGCAGUAAAAGAAGGACAGUUUAAAAUGUUUGCUUUUAGUUUACUUUUUAUGUACUUCUCAGAAAUGGGCUUUAUGUACUCCUCAGAAAUAUACUUAAAACAGCAUCAAAACUGUAACGUUAUGGAAUAAAAUGUUGACGAAUGAGGAGUUAAUAAUUACA
ensembl:lncRNA